rnacentral:rRNA from 1 species
GACCUAUUGAUGCCUGUCCACCUACACACAACAUGUGCCUAGGAGUAGCUCAUUUUAGACUAGCUAGGCACUUGUCUACCCCUACCCAAAGGGGUGGUGGAGAACUAACACUAGUCAUCCCCCUCUAAAGAGUGUAAAAGCUUUCCCAGCUAUCUUACCAGGAACCAUAUGUUUGGAAGGGAUGCAUUUGUUAGAUAAAAGGUCGAUGUAGGCUUUGCUCAUUGCUAUGAUGAUUCAUGAUAACUUGACGGAUCACAUAGCCUUUGUACCGAUCAUGGAUCAUUCAAAUUUUUGCCCUAUCAACUUUUGAUGGUAGGAUAGUGGCCUACUAUGGUGGUAAUGGAUGAUGGAGAAUUAGGGUUUGAUUCCAAUGAGAGAGCCUAAGAAGUAGCUAUGACAUCCAAGGAUGGUAGCAAGUGCACAAAUUACCCAAUCCUGACAUGGGAAGGUAGUGACAAUAAAUAACAAUAUCAGGCUCUGUGAGUUUGGUAAUUGGAAUGAGUACAAUUUAAAUCCCUUAAUGAUGAUCCAUUGAAAGGCAAGUCUGGUGCCAGUAGCCACGAUAAUUCUAGCUCUAAUAACAUAUAUUUAAGUUACCGCAAUUAAAAGGCUCAUAGUUGGAACUAGGGUUCUAUUGUCUAAUAUGCCUCACGGUGAGCACCAAUCUACUUGUCCUUAUUGCCAAUGAUGCACUCCAACCCUUAACUGGCCAGGUCAUUCCUUUGGUGAUGUUGCUUUGAAGAAACUAGAGUUUUCAAAGCAGGCCUAGGCUUAUUUACAAUAGCAUGGGAUAACAUCAUAGGAUUUGAAUCCUAUUGUGUUAGCUUUUAGGUCAAAGUAAUGAUUAAAAAAAAUAGUCAAGGGCAUUCGUAUUUCUUAGUUAGAGGUGAAAUUCUUGGAUUUAUGAAAGAUAAACAACUAUGAAAUCAUUUGCUAAGAAUGUUUUCAUUAAUCAAGAAUGAAAGUUGAGGGUCAAAGACAAUUAGAUAUCAUCCUAGUCUCAACCAUAAAUGAUACAAACUAGUGAUCAACAAAAGUUACUUUUAGAACUCUAUCGGCACCUUAUAAGAAAUCAAAGUCUUUGGGUUCCUAGGGGAGUAUGGCUAUAAGGCUGAAACUUAAAGAAAUUGAUGGAAAGGCACCACCAAAAGUGGAGCCUACGGCUUAAUUUGACUCAACAUAAGGAAACUUACCAAGUCUAGACAUAGUAAGGAUUGAUAGGCUGAAAGCACUUUCUUGAUUCUAUAAGUGGUGGUGCAUGGCUAUUCUUAGGUGGUAGAGCAAUUUUUCUGGUUAAUUCCAUUAACAAAUAAGACCUCAACUUGCUAACUAGCUACACGGAUGUAAUCCUUCGUGGCUUGCUUUUUAAAGGGAUUAUAGCCACUUAGGCCAAGAAAGUUUGAGGCAAUAACAAGACUGUGAUACCUUUAGAUGUUUUAAGACACAUGCAUGCUACAUUGAUGUAUUCAAUAAGUCUAUAGCCUUGUUCGAUAGGCCUAGGUAAUCUAUGAAAUUUCAUCAUAAUGAGGAUAGAUCAUUGCAAUUGUUGGUCUUCAAUAAGGAAUUCCUAGUAAGCAUGAGUCAAUAGCUCAUGUUGACAUGUCCCUGCCUUUUGUACACACCCCCUAUUGCUCCUACCAAUUGAAUGGUCAGGUAAAGUGUUCAAAUUGUAGUAACAUGGACAGUUCAUUGCCUAUGAUGCAGCGAGAAGUCCACUGGACCUUUUCAUUUAGAGGAAGGAAAAGUUGUAAUAAGGUCUCUAUAAGUGAACCUGUAAAAG